rnacentral:rRNA from 1 species
GAUCAUGGCUCAGAUUGAACGCUGGCGGCAUGCCUUACACAUGCAAGUCGAACGGCAGCACGGGUGCUUGCACCUGGUGGCGAGUGGCGAACGGGUGAGUAAUAUAUCGGAACGUGCCCAGUCGUGGGGGAUAACGUAGCGAAAGUUACGCUAAUACCGCAUACGAUCUACGGGUGAAAGCGGGGGACCGUAAGGCCUCGCGCGAUCGGAGCGGCCGAUGUCAGAUUAGGUAGUUGGUGGGGUAAAGGCUCACCAAGCCGACGAUCUGUAGCUGGUCUGAGAGGACGACCAGCCACACUGGGACUGAGACACGGCCCAGACUCCUACGGGAGGCAGCAGUGGGGAAUUUUGGACAAUGGGCGCAAGCCUGAUCCAGCAAUGCCGCGUGCAGGAAGAAGGCCUUCGGGUUGUAAACUGCUUUUGUACGGAGCGAAAAGGCCCUCUCUAAUACAGGGGGUUCAUGACGGUACCGUAAGAAUAAGCACCGGCUAACUACGUG